rnacentral:lncRNA from 1 species
AAAAUGUCUGCUGGAACUUCUGCACGGGUUGAGCCCAUUUUUGAUAACACAUUAGUAGCUAUGUUGUUGUCGCGGACGACAUGGUGAAACUCAAGGCCUGAGAACUUGUUUUCUAGCUUGCAGACUUCCUUGUAGUAGGUGUCCAUGUUUUCCUUAUUGCGAUCCCACUCAUCAUUGACUUGGUUGAUGACGGCUAGCAAGUCACCAUAUACUAGUAGUCAUUUGAUACCAAUUGAU